UUCGAAACUUACAAGGCAUAUGGUGGGAAAAGUAAAGGUCCACAAUUACAAUGGGGUGCUGCUGUGUGUGCUCAACAGGAUGGGGGUACUGAGUGCGGGUAUUUUACUUCAAGGUUCAUGUAUGACAUAGUCCACUCAUAUAGUGGAAGUGAAAAUCUAUUCAAGGAUUUUAAGGUGACUAAACCUUAUACUAAUGGGCAAAUUCGUGAAGUUUUAACUUGUUGGGCUCUAUACUUUUUGGACUUUGUAUUCUCCUGAAGUAUAGUAUUUUGUUAGAAUUAAAAGCUACUAUUAUUAGAAGAUAUUUACUUGUAACUGUUAAAGCUUAUCUUCCAUUGCAGUUUUAUUUGUUUUGAAAUAUUUUGAUGUUUUGGACAACUUGUAACAGAUGUCGUUUUAGGAUGAUUUUAUGGAUUUUGAAUGGUUAAUGAUUUUGUAUUGGUCAUGGGCAAUAUUUUAUGAUAGUUGAUUUUUUUUUUUUGAUUUUAAUUGCUUAUUAUUGGUACAAAAUGAAGCGCUUUGGAGAUAGAUGAUGGGAUGUGUGGUAUACUAGAUUGCCUCGUUGUAAAUGGAGGUGUUAUUCCCUCUUUGUGGAAUAUUUUUUAAAAAUAGAAAAGUUGCAUAUAUUGCUUCGGGCUUACGAUUGAGACCAAAGCAAUUACUUAAAUCAAUUGAUUUGAAUAAUUCAUAAGUUCGAAGCAAUUAGAACUUUUAAUGCUUCGAACAAUUGAUAGGCGCGAAGCAAUUGCUAGUACGUUUUAAUAGUUGCUACGAUCAAAUGCUUCGAAAUAUUGGUAAGUGCAAUGCAAUAGGAGUCUUAAAUGCUUCGCACUUGUGCGAAGCAAUUGAAUGCCUUCAAUUGCAUCGAGUCUAUAUGCUUCGCACAUAAUACGAAUCAAUAACCCCUUUUAGGCUCGAAGCAAUAUCCCUUUUUUGUACUAGUGACAGUUAGGGUCAAACCAAAUCGGGUCAAAUUAGAUAUUUACCGGGUCAAAUCGGUGUCCGGUGAAAUUCAGGUCGAGUCAAAUCGGUGUCGGGUGGAGUUUGGGUGGAAUCUAACCGGCGACAAGUGGAGUUCGGGUUGGAUCAAACUAGUUACGGGCGGAGUUCUGAUCGGGUGAAACGGGUGUCGUGUAAAGUAAAAUCGGUUACAGAUCUGGUUUGGGUCCUGAAUUUUCCGGGUCAAACCAGUUCGAUUAGAGUUCAAAACAGUUGGUUUUUCGAAGUCGGGUCAGCUUCGGACACCUCUACUUCUGCCUUUCAAGUUGA